rnacentral:rRNA from 1 species
UACAGAGGUCUCAAGCGUUGUUCGGAUUCAUUGGGCGUAAAGGGUGCGUAGGUGGCGCUGUAAGUCGGGUGUGAAGUUUCGGAGCUUAACUCCGAAACUGCAUUCGAUACUGCGGUGCUUGAGGACUGGAGAGGAGACUGGAAUUCAUGGUGUAGCAGUGAAAUGCGUAGAGAUCAUGAGGAAGACCAGUGGCGAAGGCGGGUCUCUGGACAGUUCCUGACACUGAGGCACGAAGGCCAGGGGAGCAAACGGG